rnacentral:rRNA from 4 species
AACUUUCAACAACGGAUCUCUUGGCUCUCGUAUCGAUGAAGAACGCAGCGAAAUGCGAUAAGUAAUGUGAAUUGCAGAAUUCAGUGAAUCAUCGAAUCUUUGAACGCACAUUGCGCCUCUUGGUAUUCCUUGAGGCAUGCCUGUUCGAGCGUCA